rnacentral:rRNA from 1 species
AGCGAACGCUGGCGGCAGGCCUAACACAUGCAAGUCGAACGAAGUCUUCGGACUUAGUGGCGGACGGGUGAGUAACACGUGGGAACGUGCCUUUAGGUUCGGAAUAACUCAGGGAAACUUGUGCUAAUACCGAAUGUGCCCUUCGGGGGAAAGAUUUAUCGCCUUUAGAGCGGCCCGCGUCUGAUUAGCUAGUUGGUGAGGUAAAGGCUCACCAAGGCGACGAUCAGUAGCUGGUCUGAGAGGAUGAUCAGCCACAUUGGGACUGGGACACGGCCCAAACUCCUACGGGAGGCAGCAGUGGGGAAUCUUGCGCAAUGGGCGAAAGCCUGACGCAGCCAUGCCGCGUGGAUGAUGAAGGUCUUAGGAUUGUAAAAUUCUUUCACCGGGGACGAUAAUGACGGUACCCGGAGAAGAAGCCCCGGCUAACUUCGUGCCAGCCGCCGCUGUAA